UUUUAUUUGAGAGUUUGAUCCUGGCUCAGGAUGAACGCUGGCGGCGUGCCUAACACAUGCAAGUUGAGCGAUUUACUUCGGUAAAGAGCAGCGGACGGGUGAGUAACGCGUGGGUAACCUACCCUGUACACACGGAUAACAUACCGAAAGGUAUGCUAAUACGGGAUAAUAUAUUUGAGAGGCAUCUCUUAAAUAUCAAAGGUGAGCCAGUA
rnacentral:rRNA from 1 species